UGGGGAAUUUUGCGCAAUGGGGGAAACCCUGACGCAGCAACGCCGCGUGGAGGAUGAAGCCCCUUGGGGUGUAAACUCCUUUCGAUCGGGACGAUGAUGACGGUACCGGAUGAAGAAGCACCGGCUAACUCUGUGCCAGCAGCCGCGGUAAUACAGAGGGUGCAAGCGUUGUUCGGAAUUAUUGGGCGUAAAGGGUGCGUAGGCGGUGCGGUAAGUCUCUUGUGAAAUCUCCAGGCUCAACCUGGAGCCUGCAAGGGAAACUGCCGUGCUAGAGUAUGGGAGAGGUGAGUGGAAUUCCCGGUGUAGCGGUGAAAUGCGUAGAUAUCCGCAGGAACAUCCGAGGCGAAAGCGGCUCGCUGGAUCGCAACUGACGCUGAGGGACGAAAGCUAGGGGAGCAAACAGGAUUAGAUACCCUGGUAGUCCUAGCCCUAAACCAUCAGGACUUGGGGUUUGCCCUGUACGGGGCAAGUCCCGUAGCUAACGCGUUAAGUCCUGCGCCUGGGGAGUACGGUCGCAAGGCUG
rnacentral:rRNA from 1 species